rnacentral:tRNA from 2 species
GGGCCGUUAGCUCAGCCGGUAGAGCAGAGGACUUUUAAUCCUUUGGUCGGCAGUUCGAACCUGCCACGGCCUACCA